AGAGUUUGAUCAUGGCUCAGGACUAACGCUGGCGGCGUGCCUAAUACAUGCAAGUCGAACGGGAUUCUUUGAUCAGCUUGCUGAGAGAAGGAUCUAGUGGCGGACGGGUGAGUAACACGUGGGAAUCUGCCUCUUGCUGGGGGAUAACAGUGGGAAACUACUGCUAAUACCGCAUAAGAUCUUCGGAUGAAAGGUGCAACUGCACCGGUAAGAGAUGAGCCCGCGUCCCAUUAGCUAGUUGGUGAGGUAAAGGCUCACCAAGGCGACGAUGGGUAGCCGGCCUGAGAGGGUGAACGGCCACACUGGGACUGAGACACGGCCCAGACUCCUACGGGAGGCAGCAGUAGGGAAUCUUCCGCAAUGGGCGCAAGCCUGACGGAGCGACGCCGCGUGAGUGAUGAAGGCCUUCGGGUCGUAAAGCUCUGUUCUUGAGGACGAAUAAGCCAGGGAGUGGAAAGCCCUGGUGAUGACUGUACUCAAGGAGAAAGCUCCGGCUAACUACGUGCCAGCAGCCGCGGUAAUACGUANGGAGCUAGCGUUGUCCGGAAUUACUGGGUGUAAAGGGCGCGCANGCGGUUUCAUAAGUCAGGUGUGAAAGCCCGGGGCUCAACUCCGGAUAUGC
rnacentral:rRNA from 1 species